CCACCUACCAUCUUCUAUGCUCAUCAAAUCUCUCUAUAUAUCUGAUUCACAUUCACUCAGCAACUUAGGAACAAUAUAUAUUCUCUAUCUUCAUGGCUCGUCUACUUUCUCUUUAUACACCAAAAGGGUAUCUUCAACUUCUAAGCUUCAAACCUCACGGACCACAAUCUUUGAUCAUGUUAGUUUCUUAUGUUCCCUUUCACUCUUUGUUAUAAAUUUCUUAGCUUCACUCUUAGGUAAUGGAGCCUUCGAAAUACUUUUUAAAUAUAAAAAUAUAUAGCUUAAUUAUAUAAGAUUUGUCAGCAUAUUUUAAAAUGUUUAUAAUUUAUAAGAGAAGGAUAUCAGAAACAAUUUAGCUUAUUUAGAGAGAAAAAACAUAUAUUACAUAAUUAGUUCUAUAAUAUAAUUUGAAUAUCCCAUGGGAAGUUUAUUUUUUGAUGAAAAAUUGCUCAAACAUUAUAAGUUGAAACUCUACUAUUUACAUGAGGAUUUUUCUAAUGGGUAAUUUAUGAGUAUCUCCAUAUAAUUCCCACCACAGAAUAUCAUUGCCACUUCUAUUAUAAUGUCACUUAUAAAAAAGUUGUACUUGCAUUGAGUAAAUAGAUACCUUAAAAAAAGUUAAAUGGAUGUAGCUCGUUAGUUAAUAAUAGAUUUAAGUAUAUUUUUUAAUCUCUCAAAAUUUACUGUAUUUUAGUUUAGUAUAUAUAAUACUUUUUUUGUCUUAAUCCUUACAUACUCCAAAAUUUUGGUUUUAAUAGCAAUUAGCAAGUGAUUGAUGAUGUGGGAAUUUGUGGUAUUUACAUGUCCUUAAAAACUAAAACCAAAAUAAUAAACUAAAAUAUGAAUUAAAAAUGAAAAAAAUAAGAACUGAAUUCUGAAUUAGAGAGAAUAAAAACAUUCUACGUAUAUAUCUCUAACAUGAGGAAAGGAUUUAUCCCGAACUAAUGUUAUUUUUCAUUUUGGAUUUGGAAUAUCAGAACACGUGGCAAAAAGUCAUCACUUAGCGAUGGAAAAGGUGGACAACAUAAUGAUUCGCCAAAGCUAAGGAUUCAUGAGAAAAUCGAAGUUAAUGUUGUAGAAAAACAAACACAGAAGGAAGAUAGAAAUGAAAACAAAGAAAAACAGUCCGUUACCAUUAAUAUUGACAUCACAGAG
rnacentral:lncRNA from 1 species